UGAAGAAGAAUAAGGAAAAUACAUUGGAGUGACAACUCAGACUUUGGAGUUACAAUUCUCCUUAUUUUUUUUUACUGUGUAUCCUUUUUGCUUCCCCACUCAUGCGUAUCUUGUAUCCUGUGUUGGCCUGUUGCAGACUCUGCAGGUGCAGAGUUGGAGAAGAAGAAUUAAGAAGUUGGAACUCGGAAGGUCGGAAUACCGCCGGCUGCCCCCCACCGCUCCCGCCCUCGCCCUCGCCCUCGCCCUAGUCCAUCUGUACCGCCUCUCUACCGGGGUCAGAUAACCCCCGCCCCCUAAUUCCGCCUCUGGUAUGCAAUACUGUUGUAGUCCCUUUCAGUAAAAUUCAAGAAUUUAUGCCACUAUUUAGUUUCUUCUGAAGACAGAGAACUGCAA
rnacentral:lncRNA from 1 species